rnacentral:rRNA from 1 species
CUACGGGCGGCACCAGUGGGGAAUAUUGGACAAUGGGGGAAACCCUGAUCCAGCAAUGCCGCGUGUGUGAAGAAGGCCUGCGGGUUGUAAAGCACUUUCGGUUGGGAGGACUGCUUCUAGCACUAAUAUUGUUGGAAGUUGACGUUACCUUCAGAAGAAGCACCGGCUAACUCCGUGCCAGCAGCCGCGGUAAUACGGAGGGUGCAAGGGUAAUCGGAAUUACUGGGCGUAAAGCGCGCGUAGGCGGCUAGAUCAGUCGGGUGUGAAAGCCCCGGGCUUAACCUGGGAACUGCAUCCGAUACUGUCUAGCUUGAGUACAGGAGAGGAGAGUGGAAUUCCACAUGUAGCGGUGACAUGCGUAGAUAUGUGGAGGAACACCAAUGGCGAAGGCAGCUCUCUGGCCUGAUACUGACGCUGAGGUGCGAAAGCGUGGGGAGCAAACAGGAUUAGAUACCCUCGUAGUC